rnacentral:rRNA from 1 species
AUACGGAGGAUGCGAGCGUUAUCCGGAUUUAUUGGGUUUAAAGGGAGCGUAGGUGGGAUAUUAAGUCAGCUGUGAAAGUUUGGGGCUCAACCUUAAAAUUGCAGUUGAUACUGGUUUCCUUGAGUACGGUACAGGUGGGCGGAAUUCGUGGUGUAGCGGUGAAAUGCUUAGAUAUCACGAAGAACUCCGAUCGCGAAGGCAGCUCACCGGGCCGGAACUGACACUGAUGCUCGAAAGUGCGGGUAUCAAACAGGAUUAGAUACCCUGGUAGUCCGCACAGUAAACGAUGAAUACUCGCUGUUUGCGAUACACUGUAAGCGGCCAAGCGAAAGCGUUAAGUAUUCCACCUGGGGAGUACGCCGGCAACGGCGAAACUCAAAUGAAUUGACGGGG